rnacentral:rRNA from 1 species
AAGGGUAGCAAUACCUGAGUAAAGUGGCGUACGGGUGAGUAACACGUGAAUCAUCUACCUUCGAGUGUGGAAUAACUGAGAGAAAUCUUAGCUAAUACCUCAUAAUACCUACGGGUCAAAGCAGCAAUGCGCUUGAAGAGGAGUUCGCGGCAGAUUAGUUAGUUGGCGGGGUAAUGGCCCACCAAGACGAUGAUCUGUAUCCGGCCUGAGAGGGCGCACGGACACACUGGAACUGAAACACGGUCCAGACUCCUACGGGAGGCAGCAGUGGGGAAUUUUGCGCAAUGGGGGAAACCCUGACGCAGCAACGCCGCGUGGAGGAUGAAAUCCCUUGGGAUGUAAACUCCUUUCGAUAGGGAAGAUAAUGACGGUACCUAUAGAAGAAGCCCCGGCUAACUUCGUGCCAGCAGCCGCGGUAAUACGAGGGGGGCAAGCGUUGUUCGGAAUUAUUGGGCGUAAAGGGUGCGUAGGCGGUUUGACAAGUCUUGUGUGAAAUCUAUGGGCUCAACCCAUAGUCUGCACAAGAAACUGUCGGGCUUGAGUAUGGGAGAGGUGAGUGGAAUUUCCGGUGUAGCGGUGAAAUGCGUAGAUAUCGGAAGGAACACCUGUGGCGAAAGCGGCUCACUGGACCAUAACUGACGCUGAUGCACGAAAGCUAGGGGAGCAAACAGGAUUAGAUACCCUGGUAG